rnacentral:rRNA from 1 species
AACGAACGCUGGCGGCAUGCCUAACACAUGCAAGUCGAACGAGAUCUUCGGAUCUAGUGGCGCACGGGUGCGUAACGCGUGGGAAUCUGCCCUUGGGUUCGGAAUAACAGUGAGAAAUUACUGCUAAUACCGGAUGAUGUCUUCGGACCAAAGAUUUAUUGCCAAGGGAUGAGCCCGCGUAGGAUUAGCUAGUUGGUGGGGUAAUGGCCUACCAAGGCGACGAUCCUUAGCUGGUCUGAGAGGAUGAUCAGCCACACUGGGACUGAGACACGGCCAGACUCCUACGGGAGGCAGCAGUGGGGAAUAUUGGACAAUGGGCGAAAGCCUGAUCCAGCAAUGCCGCGUGAGUGAUGAAGGCCUUAGGGUUGUAAAGCUCUUUUACCAGGGAUGAUAAUGACAGUACCUGGAGAAUAAGCUCCGGCUAACUCCGUGCCAGCCGCCGCCGUAA